rnacentral:rRNA from 1 species
AGUGAACGCUGGCGGUAGGCCUAACACAUGCAAGUCGAACGGCAGCACAGUAAGAGCUUGCUCGUACGGGUGGCGAGUGGCGGACGGGUGAGGAAUACAUCGGAAUCUACUUUUUCGUGGGGGAUAACGUAGGGAAACUUACGCUAAUACCGCAUACGACCCACGGGUGAAAGCAGGGGAUCUUCGGACCUUGCGCGAUUGAAUGAGCCGAUGUCGGAUUAGCUAGUUGGCGGGGUAAAGGCCCACCAAGGCGACGAUCCGUAGCUGGUCUGAGAGGAUGAUCAGCCACACUGGAACUGAGACACGGUCCAGACUCCUACGGGAGGCAGCAGUGGGGAAUAUUGGACAAUGGGCGCAAGCCUGAUCCAGCCAUACUGCGUGGGUGAAGAAGGCCUUCGGGUUGUAAAGCCCUUUUGUUGGGAAAGAAAAGCAGCAGGUUAAUACCCCGCUGUUCUGACGGUACCCAAAGAAUAAGCACCGGCUAACUUCGUG